AGUCCAAGAUGAAAGUACUGGCAGCCCCGUU
rnacentral:piRNA from 1 species